AUUUUCCCCUAUAUGUCAGUCUAGGUAGUGCUUUAUGGUCCAUAAGCUAAAUAGGCGGUGAGACUUGUGUUCUUGAACAGCGAAGUUGGCCCAGUUGGGCAGGGCUCCGUGUGACGGCUCCGCUCUCCACUAGAUGGUGCUGCUAGCCUACUGGGGUGGAGUUUUGCGGGGCUCCUAGGUGCGCAUGUGCAUGCGUGGGAAUGGUGAAAAUGGCGCCCCCAGCUACCCAGUCUGUUCUCCCGAUCAGCAAUCGUGUACCCAUCCUUUGUCUUCAGCUUUCAUCCACUCCCUGCUUUUUCACUCUCUGUGACCAGGCCCCAGGCAGUACCUCUCUCCUGAGUUUUGUCUCAGAUGCGGCUGCUUUUCCCAGCCCCUUACUUCUGAAGGACUGCGGCUUUGACCCGUUCUGCCCCUCUGCGGGAGGGUCUCACCAAGCAAUGGCCGAAUGAGCAAUGGCUGAAUGUCGGCUGCACCCAGGAACGCUUGCUGGACACUGCUGCUGCCAGUGCCCUGAGACUGCGGCCAGGUGCCAGCCCGCCCCAGAAAAAGUUCGCCAGACAGUGUAACAGCAGCGUUUCAGGGAUUAUGGAAGAUCACAACACACAUUUGGCACCAGGCUUCACCCUUAACGACCUUGUUCCAGCACCAGUGAAUGUGGCUGCCUUCCGGGGUCUGCUGGGACCAGGUGGCUUCAACAGUCUCUACCAAAUGUCCUUCCAGCAGUGGAACCGCUUUCCCCGUGUGGCCCAAGAACCUCCCAGAUCCCACUCUGUUCCUGGGGAUUCGCCCUUCCCACCAGAGCACCGCCAGAGUACGCAGUAGGGAAGGAGUGACAGAUGUGAACUUUGGAGAGGUGGCAUAACCAGAACUAUGCAGAACAAGCCGUAGCCUGCCUUUUUUCUCAUUGGGCAUCAUUAGCCUUUCCCCAUUUUCAAGCCACCAACUUGCAACUGAGGAGGCCCUGCACCUGGCUGCCACUGUUGUCACAGCUACAAUGGCACCUGAUCCAGGAUAUGGAAAAUUUUAAGGAAGAUAUCUAUUGGAGCUCAAGAAUAUGUGGAAUUCUGUUACUGCCUAUGCCAACAAGGCGUUAUUCACUCACCUCAGUGAUGGUCUGCCCAGUAAUAUUUCAUCUUUAGAAACUUUUGGAGACCUUCCCUUCCUGAAUCAUUCCCAUUUUUAAUCAUAUGAAUAGAUAAGAAACCAUGUUGCAAAAGUCCUAUUAUACAAUUUCACCAUUGGUAUACAACAAAUAUGCACUACGUUUCUGUUUUCUUUCAACAAAAAUAAAAAUAAUUAACCAUGAAUGUAA